GCUCAAGUUUAAUUAGAAGGAAUUCUGUUACGUGUGAUGGCUGAGGUCUUUUUGAGUUAAUCUGGCUGUUUGGGUCAGCAUGGAAAAUGAGGUAUGGAACUGAUUCCAUGGUGAGUCACUAGGGGUCUGGGACAGCUGGACAGGGAUUAAUUCAUUUUGCCCAGGCCAAAGAGUCUCUGCUGUGGAUUACAGUGGGAGCAGUUCCCAGGAGAAGGAGGUCCCUGCCUGCACGUGGAUAUUUCUCCUGUAUUUACAGCCUUCCCAGGGAGAAGGACUGACACUUUUAUCCUCCUUCUUACAGACCAAACGCCUGAGACACUGCCUGCUCUCAGUGCCCAGUGACAGAGAAAAGGCUGUUUUUCCAGAACUUUUGUGUGUUCAUUGUCUCUGGGCCCAAGAAGCCUCCACAGGUCCAGGGGACACGUCACACAACCAGUGUGGAGGGGAGAUUUUCUGCAGAGAUUGGGCCACUGGAGUGAUCCCAGAACUGUACAACCAAACUCCAGCUCGCAGCAGCUUCACUCUGUCAUCACUGAAACAAAGCUACGAGCUGCAAUUAAAUUUCCGGGCAAUUUACAGACUUUCUGCACUGAAAUGUUCCUUUGAGGAUUUCUAGGGAGAGCAGUAGACUGAGAAAAAUUCUGCCCUGCGGCAGGGAGCAUCAUGGUGUCACCGUGAUCCUCCUCGUCAUCAGGAUGUGCACCCAGCAUCUGCCUCCAGAGCUCUGACUCAGCCUGGGCCCAGUACAUCAGUAUUUCACCUGCUGGUGUCUCUGCAGAGAAGUCCAAAGAGAGGAAAAGAAGUGUCCUUCCCAUCACCUUCAUUGACACCCUUUUCCCUCAGAGCAUUCGGUGCUGAGUGAGGCCAUCUGCUGGGAGAGAUCCAGCCUGGAGCCACAGCUGGAGGUUUGUGACAGUGUCUGCGUGCCUCAAGUGGUAGAGAAACAAGAGUGGUUUUGCCAGUGUUUGUAAUCCAUCUCCAAGCGCUGCUCCAUGUGCUUUCUGCCUCCUUUAUCUGCAAGGCUCCUGCCUUCCCCUGUCACACAUUGAGUCCAGCUGCCUCAGAGCUGCUGCCCCACACAGUCUUCUCUGCAGCACACCUGGGACCUCUCCAGCAUCUUGGCUUUCAUCUGCUGUGCAAGAGAGAGCCCUUAAUGUCCUCUCAGUACAGGAGAAUGAUGAGGUGAAGGGCUCGUUGUGCCUGGCAGGGGCAAACAGAAGACUCUAAGAGCAAGGAUCCUGGAAUCAUUAAGGCUGGAGAAGACCUCUAAGAAGACUGAAUCCACACAGCACCACCAGCUCAGCACUGAGUG